AAUUUGCAACCCAGUGCUGAGUUCAACCCCGGGGUUGAAAUUUCAACCCCGGGGUUGAAAUUUCAACCCUGCUUCAUCUAGCAGGGUUGAAAUUUCAACCCCAGGGUUGAACUCAGCACUGGGUUGAAAA